rnacentral:rRNA from 1 species
UACGGCUCAGUAACACGCGGGUAACCUACCCUCAGGACAGGGAUAACCCCGGAAAACUGGGGAUAAUACCUGAUAGGUGGAUACGUCUGGAAUGACUUUCCGCUCAAAUGCUCCGGCGCCUGAGGAUGGGCCUGCGACCGAUUAGGUUGUUGGCGGUGUAACGGACCACCAAGCCUGCGAUCGGUACGGGCGUUGGGAGACGUAGCCCGGAGAUGGGGACUGAGACACGGCCCCAGGCCCUACGGGGCGCAGCAGGCGCGAAAACUCCGCAAUACACGAAAGUGUGACGGGGGGACCCCAAGUGCUCUCGCGCAAGCGAGUGCUUUUGUGAAGUGUAAAUAGCUUCACGAAUAAGAGCUGUGUAAGACCGGUGCCAGCCGCCGCGGUAACGCCGGCGGCCCGAGUGGUAGCCGCUAUUAUUGGGUUUAAAGGGUCCGUAGCCGGCCUAUUAAGUCUCUUGGGAAAUCUGGCGGCUUAAUCGUCAGGCGUCCAAGAGAUACUGGUAGGCUUGGGACCGGGAGAGGUGGGAGGUACUCCAGGGGUAGGGGUGAAAUCUCGUAAUCCCUGGGGGACCACCGAUGGCGAAGGCAUCCCACCAGAACGGGUCCGACGGUGAGGGACGAAAGCUGGGGGCACGAACCGGAUUAGAUACCCGGGUAGUCCCAGCCGUAAACGAUGCUCGCUAGGUGUCAGAUGCGGUGCGACCGCAUCUGGUGCCGCAGUGAAAACCUGAAGCGAGUCACCUGGGAAGUACGGUCGCAAGGCUGAAACUUAAAGGAAUUGGCGGA